AUUGAACGCUGGCGGCAGGCCUAACACAUGCAAGUCGAGCGGAUGAAGGGAGCUUGCUCCUGGAUUCAGCGGCGGACGGGUGAGUAAUGCCUAGGAAUCUGCCUGGUAGUGGGGGAUAACGUCCGGAAACGGGCGCUAAUACCGCAUACGUCCUGAGGGAGAAAGUGGGGGAUCUUCGGACCUCACGCUAUCAGAUGAGCCUAGGUCGGAUUAGCUAGUUGGUGGGGUAAAGGCCUACCAAGGCGACGAUCCGUAACUGGUCUGAGGGGAUGAUCAGUCACACGGAAAGGGAAAGAGGGGCCGGACACAGACGGGAGGGAGGAGGGGGGAAGGUGGAAAAAGGGGCGAAAGCGUGAACCAGCAAGGCAGGGGGGGUGAAGAAGGGCGGGGGUUUGGAAAGCAAUUUAAGUGGGGAGGAAGGGAAGGAAGUUAAAACCUGGGUGUUUGGAGGUAACAAAAAAAAAAAGAACGGGGAAAUUGGGG
rnacentral:rRNA from 1 species